rnacentral:lncRNA from 1 species
GUCAAGAACUAUUUUUUUACAUCAUAUAUUUUUCUACCAUAAGCCUAAUUCACCAUUUUAGAAUUUUACAGACUUGUGGAUUAUUCCACUGGUACAGAUAUAGUUAACCAACUGAUUGAUGUUUAGAUCUGUUGUCCAUGCUUUGCUUAUAAAUAAGGAUUUUUGCAAUGCUUGGUUGUAGCUUGUUUUAUAUACCUUUAAUAUUCUCUGGUUUUGUUUAAUGACACAUACUAUCACAAUUUUGGAGCAAAAAUCUCAUUGGCUGAAGUGAAUGGUGAUUUGUCAGAUCCUAUUAAGUGAAGUGUUGACACAUGUACAGAAUCUGUAUUU